rnacentral:rRNA from 1 species
AUUCCAGCUCCAAUAGCGUAUAUUAAAGUUGUUGCAGUUAGAACGCUCGUAGUCGGAUUUCGGGGCGGGUCGACCGGUCUGCCGAUGGGUACGCACUGGCCGACGCGUCCUUCCUUCCGGAGACCGUCUCACUCUUAACUGAGCGGAGGCGGGAGACGGAACGUUUACUUUGAAAAAAUCAGAGUGUUUCAAGCAGGCAGCUCGCUCUUGCAUGGAUUAGCAUGGGAUAAUGAAAUAGGACUUUGGUGCUAUUUUGUUGGUUUCGAACACCGAAGUAAUGAUGAGCAGGGACAGUCAGGGGCACUCGUAUUCCGCCGAGAGAGGUGAAAUUCUCAGACCAGCGGAAGACGAACUACUGCGAAAGCAUUUGCCAGGGAUGUUUUCAUUA